rnacentral:rRNA from 1 species
AGUGAACGCUGGCGGUAGGCCUAACACAUGCAAGUCGAACGGCAGCACAGUAAGAGCUUGCUCUUACGGGUGGCGAGUGGCGGACGGGUGAGGAAUACAUCGGAAUCUACUUUUUCGUGGGGGAUAACGUAGGGAAACUUACGCUAAUACCGCAUACGACCUACGUGUGAAAGCAGGGGAUCUUCGGACCUUGCUCGAUUGAAUGAGCCGAUGUCGGAUUAGCUAGUUGGCGGGGUAAAGGCCCACCAAGGCGACGAUCCGUAGCUGGUCUGAGAGGAUGUACAGCCACACUGGAACUGAGACACGGUCAAGACUCCUACGGGAGGCAGCAGUGGGGAAUAUUGGACAAUGGGCGCAAGCCUGAUCCAGCCAUACCGCGUGGGUGAAGAAGGCCUUCGGGUUGUAAAGCCCUUUUGUUGGGAAAGAAAAGCAGCAGGUUAAUACCCCGCUGUUCUGACGGUACCCAAAGAAUAAGCACCGGCUAACUUCGUG